AUCCAGUUGACGAGUCCCAAAAAUAGGACGAAAUGCGCAUUAUCCUGGAU
rnacentral:hammerhead_ribozyme from 1 species